AUUGAACGCUGGCGGCAGGCCUAACACAUGCAAGUCGAACGGUACCAGAAAGCCGCUUGCUGCUUUGCUGAGGAGUGGCGGGCGGGUGGGUAAUGUCUGGGAAACUGCCUGAUGGAGGGGGAUAACUACUGGAAACGGUAGCUAAUACCGCAUAACGUCGCCAGACCAAAGAGGGGGCCCUUCGGGCCUCUUGUCGUCGGGUGUGCCCAGAUGGGGUUAGCUAGUAGGUGGGGUAAAGGCAGAACUAGGCGACGAACCCUAGCUGGUCGGAGGGGAUGGCCCGCCACACUGGCAGUGAGACUCGGCCCACACUCCUGCGGGAGGCCACAGUGGGGAAUAUUGCACAAUGGGCGAAAGCCGGAUGCAGCCAUGCCGCGUGUAUGAAGAAGGCCCUCGGGUUGGAAAGUGCUUUCGGCGGUGAGGAAGGGAGUAAAGUUAAUACCGUUGCUUAUUGACGUUACCCGCAGAAGAAGCACCGGCUAACUCCGUG
rnacentral:rRNA from 1 species